GAUGAACGCUGGCGGCAUGCCUUACACAUGCAAGUCGAACGGCAGCACGGGGCAACCUGGUGGCGAGUGGCGAACGGGUGAGUAAUGCAUCGGAACGUACCUUUCAGUGGGGGAUAACGUAGCGAAAGUUACGCUAAUACCGCAUAUUCUGUGAGCAGGAAAGCAGGGGAUCGCAAGACCUUGCGCUGAUUGAGCGGCCGAUGUCAGAUUAGCUAGUUGGUGAGGUAAAGGCUCACCAAGGCGACGAUCUGUAGCGGGUCUGAGAGGAUGAUCCGCCACACUGGAACUGAGACACGGGCCAGACUCCUACGGGAGGCAGCAGUGGGGAAUUUUGGACAAUGGGGGCAACCCUGAUCCAGCCAUGCCGCGUGAGUGAAGAAGGCCUUCGGGUUGUAAAGCUCUUUCGGCCGGGAAGAAAUCGCACGGGCUAAUACCCUGUGUGGAUGACGGUACCGGAAUAAGAAGCACCGGCUAACUACGUGCCAGCCGCCGCCGUAAUAC
rnacentral:rRNA from 1 species